GAUGAACGCUCGCGGGAGGCCUAACACAUGCAAGCCGAGCGGUAUUGUUUCUUCGGACAUGAGAGAGCGGCGUACGGGUGCGUAACACGUGUGCAACCUGCCUUUAUCUGGGGGAUAGCCUUUCGAAAGGAAGAUUAAUACUCCAUAAUAUAUUGAACGGCAUCGUUUAAUAUUGAAAGCUCCGGCGGAUAGAGAUGGGCACGCGCAAGAUUAGCUAGUUGGUGAGGUAACGGCUCACCAAGGCGAUGAUCUUUAGGGGGCCUGAGAGGGUGAUCCCCCACACUGGUACUGAGACACGGACCAGACUCCUACGGGAGGCAGCAGUGAGGAAUAUUGGUCAAUGGGUGCAAGCCUGAACCAGCCAUCCCGCUUGAAGGACGACUGCCCUAUGGGUUGUAAACUUCUUUUGUAUAGGGAUAAACCUACCCUCGAGAGGGUAGCUGAAGGUACUAUACGAAUAAGCACCGGCUAACUCCGUG
rnacentral:rRNA from 1 species